UCCCAGACUCCUACGGGAGGCAGCAGUGGGGAAUAUUGCACAAUGGGGGAAACCCUGAUGCAGCGACGCCGCGUGAGCGAUGAAGUAUUUCGGUAUGUAAAGCUCUAUCAGCAGGGAAGAAGAUGACGGUACCUGACUAAGAAGCCCCGGCUAACUACGUGCCAGCAGCCGCGGUAAUACGUAGGGGGCAAGCGUUAUCCGGAUUUACUGGGUGUAAAGGGAGCGUAGACGGCGAUGCAAGUCUGAAGUGAAAGGCGGGGGCCCAACCCCCGGACUGCUUUGGAAACUGUAUGGCUGGAGUGCAGGAGAGGUAAGUGGAAUUCCUAGUGUAGCGGUGAAAUGCGUAGAUAUAAGGAAGAACACCAGUGGCGAAGGCGGAUUACUGGACGAUAACUGACGGUGAGGCGCGAAAGCGUGGGGAGCAAACAGGAUUAGAUCCCCCCGUA
rnacentral:rRNA from 1 species